GUAAUCUGAUGCGGCACGGAGGUUGACGUUGGAGAGAGCUUCGGCGGCAUCGGCAUGGCGUUGAUCGUCGUCAAGAGUGCUUCCGUACUCGCUUUUGAUGGACCAUGAGUCGGCGGCGAUGGAACGGUCGUCGUCGGAGACGAGAUCGACGAGAGCAACAGCUCGCGCUUGUUGCGAGACGUCGGAGUCUUCCGGCUGCAAACGAAUUCCGGCCAUCGAAGGGUGGUUUCGUUACUAUGCG
rnacentral:lncRNA from 1 species